UACGUAGGUGGCAAGCGUUGUCCGGAUUUAUUGGGUUUAAAGGGUGCGUAGGCGGUCUUAUAAGUCAGUGCUGAAAUAUCCCGGCUUAACCGGGAGGGUGGCAUUGAUACUGCAAGACUUGAGUAGAGUUGAGGUUGGCGGAAUUGACGGUGUAGCGGUGAAAUGCUUAGAUAUCGUCAAGAACACCGAUAGUGAAGACAGCUAACUAAGCUCUAACUGACGCUGAGGCACGAAAGUGUGGGGGAUCAAACAGG
rnacentral:rRNA from 1 species